rnacentral:rRNA from 1 species
AACUUCCGUUAAUUGAUCAGGACGUGCUUGCACUGAAUGAGAUUUUAACACGAAGUGAGUGGCGGACGGGUGAGUAACACGUGGGUAACCUGCCCAGAAGCAGGGGAUAACACCUGGAAACAGAUGCUAAUACCGUAUAACAGAGAAAACCGCCUGGUUUUCUUUUAAAAGAUGGCUCUGCUAUCACUUCUGGAUGGACCCGCGGCGCAUUAGCUAGUUGGUGAGGUAACGGCUCACCAAGGCGAUGAUGCGUAGCCGACCUGAGAGGGUAAUCGGCCACAUUGGGACUGAGACACGGCCCAGACUCCUACGGGAGGCAGCAGUAGGGAAUCUUCCACAAUGGACGAAAGUCUGAUGGAGCAACGCCGCGUGAGUGAAGAAGGGUUUCGGCUCGUAAAGCUCUGUUGUUAAAGAAGAACGUGGGUGAGAGUAACUGUUCACCCAGUGACGGUAUUUAACCAGAAAGCCACGGCUAACUACGUGCCAGCAGCCGCGGUAAUACGUAGGUGGCAAGCGUUAUCCGGAUUUAUUGGGCGUAAAGCGAGCGCAGGCGGUCUUUUAAGUCUAAUGUGAAAGCCUUCGGCUCAACCGAAGAAGUGCAUUGGAAACUGGGAGACUUGAGUGCAGAAGGGGACAGUGGAACUCCAUGUGUAGCGGUGAAAUGCGUAGAUAUAUG